GGGAAUUCCAAAGAUGACAAUACAUGAUCAUAAGUCAGGAGUUCAACUGGAAUUAAAAGUAUGAAAGAGGAAGUGAAGCAGUAACUGCCUGCUGGCUCCAGGGCACGCAGAGUUCACACAGCUGGCUGACUGGCGGACUGGAACAACAUCAGUGUGAGCUCUCUUGGGCUUCCAGCUUGCUGGUUCACUCUGCAGAUCCUGGAACUUGCCAGCCUUGAUAGAUAACAAGUCACCACACGAUGCUGUGAGGAAGACCAAGGAGCACCACAAAGAGCCCCAGAUGGAGAGAAGUGCAGCUCUCUGGCCAGUUGCCCUGGGGUGUGCUUCCAUGAACAUUUAGAGCCAUCCACAGCCAAGUGGCUUUCCUUGGAAAUGGGUCCUCAAUCAAGAUCUCUCAGUUAACAUCACAGGCAGCAAAAAUGUGCCAUUCCUGCUGAGCCCUGUGCAAAUAAAAUGAUGAACCAAAUUCA